GCAGCUGCUGCACCACUGUGGACUCUGGCUGGCUCGUUGGUGCUGUGCCAGCCCCACGGUCAGGUGCAGGCCUCCUGGUAGCAGGGCAGCGCCUGUACCCGUCUCCAGCUUGGCUGUCUGCUGCCACUGCGGGAAGAGGCAAGGUGGGAUGGAGACCUCGUCCUCGCCUGCUGCAGUGCCGAGGCUGCUGACUGCCUCAUGCCGCCGUUUCUUCGUGAAGGAGUCGGCGGUGAGCAGGCUGGGCUCCUUCUCCGCGCUGCAGAGACAAAGGUGGUGCGAGGGGUGGUCAUGGACCAGCACUGCUCCGGGGGGAGGCUGGGUGCCGAGGGGCUGGGCUGGGGAUGAGCAGUCCAGAGCAGGGGAGCUGGCUGCCAAAAUCACCCCUGAGCCAGCGCUGAGGCCAGAGUCGCCUCGUGGAGCCCCCCGAGGCUGCUGCUGGCCUGGCUGCGGCGCAGGAGCCGGGCAGCGAUGGGCACUGCUCACCUGCACGUGCCCAAAGGCAGGAGAGCUGAGUCGGGGCAGCCGGUGUUUGGUGGGAAGUUGCUGCCAGCAACUCGCACGCGAGCCUGCGCGUGGUGGGCACUUCUGUGCAGCUUCCAGCCCUGCGGGUAUUGACACAAAUAAAGACUUGGUGAGCUGCA